rnacentral:rRNA from 1 species
UAGGGGAUCUUCCACAAUGGGCGGCAAGCCUGAUGGAGCAACACCGCGUGAGUGAAGAAGGGUUUCGGCUCGUAAAGCUCUGUUGUUAAAGAAGAACACGUAUGAGAGUAACUGUUCAUACGUUGACGGUAUUUAACCAGAAAGUCACGGCUAACUACGUGCCAA